rnacentral:rRNA from 1 species
GACGAACGCUGGCGGCGUGCCUAAUACAUGCAAGUCGAACGCUUUGAUUUUCACCGGAGCUUGCUCCACCGAAAAUCAAAGAGUGGCGGACGGGUGAGUAACACGUGGGCAACCUGCCCAACAGAGGGGGAUAACACUUGGAAACAGGUGCUAAUACCGCAUAAUUUGUUUUUCCGCAUGGAAGAAUAAUAAAAGACGCUUCGGUGUCACUGUUGGAUGGGCCCGCGCUGCAUUAGUUAGUUGGUGGGGUAACGGCCUACCAAGACCAUGAUGCAUAGCCGACCUGAGAGGGUGAUCGGCCACACUGGGACUGAGACACGGCCCAGACUCCUACGGGAGGCAGCAGUAGGGGAUCUUCGGCAAUGGACGAAAGUCUGACCGAGCAACGCCGCGUGAGUGAAGAAGGUUUUCGGAUCGUAAAACUCUGUUGUUAGAGAAGAACAAGUGAGAGAGUUACUGUUCUCACCUUGACGGUAUCUAACCAGAAAGCCACGGCUAACUACGUGCCAGCAGCCGCGGUAAUACGUAGGUGGCAAGCGCUGUCCGGAUUUAUUGGGCGUAAAGCGAGCGCAGGCGGUUUCUUAAGUCUGAUGUGAAAGCCCUCGGCUCAACCGAGGAAGGUCAUUGGAAACUGGGGAACUUGAGUGCAGAAGAGGAGAGUGGAAUUCCAUGUGUAGCGGUGAAAUGCGUAGAUAUAUGGAGGAACACCAGUGGCGAAGGCGACUCUCUGGUCUGUAACUGACGCUGAGGCUCGAAAGCGUGGGGAGCAAACAGG